rnacentral:rRNA from 1 species
UGGCUCAGGACGAACGCUGGCGGCGUGCUUAACACAUGCAAGUCGAACGAUGAUGCCUGCAACUUGUUGUGGGUGGAUUAGUGGCGAACGGGUGAGUAAUACGUGAGUAACCUGCCCUCCUUUUUGGGAUAAGCCUUGGAAACGGGGUCUAAUACCGAAUAUUCUGGCGCUCUCGCAUGGGGGUGUUGGGAAAGCUUUUGUGAAGGGGGAUGGGCUCGCGGCCUAUCAGCUUGUUGGUGGGGUGAUGGCCUACCAAGGCGGUGACGGGUAGCCGGCCUGAGAGGGUGACCGGCCACAUUGGGACUGAGAUACGGCCCAGACUCCUACGGGAGGCAGCAGUGGGGGAUAUUGCACAAUGGGCGAAAGCCUGAUGCAGCGACGCCGCGUGGGGGAUGAAGGCUUUCGGGUUGUAAACCUCUUUCGCUAUCGAACAAGGCUCAUUUUUUUGGUGGGUUGAGGGUAGGUGGAGAAGAAGCGCCGGCUAACUACGUGCCA